rfam:Triticum aestivum genome assembly, contig: Triticum_aestivum_CS42_TGACv1_scaffold_180190_2DS
CAAAUACUCCCUCCGUCCGGAAAUACUUGUCAUCAAAAUGGAUAAAAGGAAAUGUAUCUAGACGUAUUUUAGUUUUAGAUAAAUCUCUUUUUAUCCAUUUUGAUGACAAGUAUUUUCGGACGGAGGGAGUAGAAA